rnacentral:lncRNA from 1 species
UUUCCUGCAGACCGCCCAAGGGAUCAUAUAGAAAGCCCUAUAGUAUAAACAUGAAAAACAAUCAACAGGGGUCUUAUAGAACGCCAUUUAGUACAUAUAUAAUGUAAAGACAACAGGGUAUCCUGUAGACCGCCCAAGGGAUCCUGUAGAACGCCCUUUAGUAUAUACAUGAUUAACAAACAAUAGGGGAUCCUAUAGAACGUCUUAUAGUAGAUAUAUUAUGUUGAGAAAACAGGGGAUCCUGUAGACCGCCCAGGGGAUCCUGUAGAACGCCCUAUAGUAUAUAAAUGAAAAACAAACAACAGGGGAUACUUUAGAACGUCUUAUAGUAGAUAUAUAUUUUUAAACAAAUGGGGAUCCUGUAGACCGCCCAGUGGAUCCUGUAGAAAGCCCUAUAAGUAUAAACAUAAAAAACAAUCAACAGGGCAUCCUGUAGACCGCCCAGGGGAUCCGGUAGAACGCCCUUUAGUAUAUAAAUAAUAAACAAACAAUAUAGGGAUCCUAUAGAACGUCCUAUAGUAGAUAUAUAAUGUAAAGACAACAGGGGAUCCUGUAGACCGCCCAUGGUAUCCUGUAGAACGCCCUUUAGUAUAAACAUGAAAAACAAUCAACAGAACGUCCUAUAGUACAUAUAUUAUGUUGAAAAACAAAGAUUCCUGCAGACCGCCCAAAGUUUCCUGCAGACCGCCCAAGGGAUCAUAUAGAAAGCCCUAUAGUAUAAACAUGAAAAACAAUCAACAGGGGGUCUUAUAUAUAGAACGCCAUUUAGUACAUAUAUAAUGUAAAGACAACAGGGGAUCCUGAAGACCGCCC